UACGUAGGGUGCGAGCGUUAAUCGGAAUUACUGGGCGUAAAGCGUGCGCAGGCGGUUCGUUGUGUCGGUGGUGAAAGCCCCGGGCUUAACCUGGGAAUGGCCAUGGAAACUGGCGAACUGGAGUGUGGCAGAGGGGGGUGGAAUUCCGCGUGUAGCAGUGAAAUGCGUAGAGAUGUGGAGGAACACCGAUGGCGAAGGCAGCCCCCUGGGCUAGCACUGACGCUCAGGCACGAAAGCGUGGGGAGCAAACAGG
rnacentral:rRNA from 1 species